GGACGAACGCUGGCGGCGUGCUUAACCCAUGCAAGUCGAACGGAAAGGCCUUUUCGGAGGUACUCGAGUGGCGAACGGGUGAGUAACACGUGGGUGAUCUGCCCUGCACUCUGGGAUAAGCCUGGGAAACUGGGUCUAAUACCGGAUAGGACCGCCCUUUAGUGUGUGUGGUGGAAAGUUUUUUCGGUGUAGGAUGAGCCCGCGGCCUAUCAGCUUGUUGGUGGGGUAAUGGCCUACCAAGGCGGCGACGGGUAGCCGGACUGAGAGGUUGGUCGGCCACAUUGGGACUGAGAUACGGCCCAGACUCCUACGGGAGGCAGCAGGGGGGAAUAUUGCACAAUGGGCGCAAGCCUGAUGCAGCGACGCCGCGUGGGGGAUGACGGCCUUCGGGUUGUAAACUCCUUUCGCCAGGGACGAAGCGUUUUGUGACGGUACCUGGAGAAGAAGCACCGGCUAACUACGUG
rnacentral:rRNA from 1 species